GUCUAUGACCAUACCACCCUGAAUGUGCCAGAUCUUGUCUGAUCUCAGAAGCUAGGCACGGUUGGUCGGGUUAGUACUUGGAUGGGAAAAAGGGAAAAUAUAAACA
rnacentral:rRNA from 1 species